CCUACGGGUGGCUGCAGUGGGGAAUAUUGGACAAUGGGCGAAAGCCUGAUCCAGCCAUGCCGCGUGUGUGAAGAAGGCCUUCGGGUUGUAAAGCACUUUCAGUGGGGAAGAAAGCCUUGGGGCUAAUACCCUCGAGGAAGGACAUCACCCACAGAAGAAGCACCGGCUAACUCCGUGCCAGCAGCCGCGGUAAUACGGAGGGUGCGAGCGUUAAUCGGAAUUACUGGGCGUAAAGCGCGCGUAGGCGGUCUGAUAAGCCGGUUGUGAAAGCCCCGGGCUCAACCUGGGAACGGCAUCCGGAACUGUCAGGCUAGAGUGCAGGAGAGGAAGGUAGAAUUCCCGGUGUAGCGGUGAAAUGCGUAGAGAUCGGGAGGAAUACCAGUGGCGAAGGCGGCCUUCUGGACUGACACUGACGCUGAGGUGCGAAAGCGUGGGUAGCAAACAGGAUUAGAUACCCGAGUAAUC
rnacentral:rRNA from 1 species